GGCGGGAGCUCCCAGGAGACCCCGCGCGUGUGACAUUCCCGGCGCAGACUCGAGUGUACGGUUGCGAUCGAACGGGUGGGCCUGGGCCGGCCGGGCCUGGGGCCUUCUGUGUCUGCGCGAUCGCCUCCUGGCAAAGAAGGCCACAUAGUGAGGAGAGGACGGUCCUCAGAAAGAGAGAGACUCGCGCCUGACGGUCAACUGGGCGAGCGGACACCGGGCACAGAAAGGGGCCGUGGGGAAGUCCCAGUAGAUGAAUGCUGGAGUCGUUGUUUGACUGUAUGUGAAUGAUAUGGACAGUGGAAAGGCUCUGACCUGACCAAGGGCCCAAAGGGAGACAAAGAGGACUGCGAGGACCAGGCAACCUCAUGCAAGAACCAAGUUUUUGGCUAAAGUUCAGAUUGGAUGAAGACUGGUUAUAUCAAUUGCUGAUUGAAUUUGUUAAUGAUAAAGACUGGAGUCUCAGAAGGAAAU
rnacentral:lncRNA from 1 species